CUUAUGUUAUUCCACGAUAAUUCAUAUUGCUAUUCUGUUAAGUUGUUUAUUCAUAUUUUGAUUCUAUUUUUGGGUGGUAACUGUUAUAAGAUGCAGGACAGCUGUGGAUUGAGAGGGAUACAACUACCUGACAAAUACAGCCAGAAUUUCGACGCUUCGAGCGAAGGUCCUUCGUUGGGAAGUUAGUUUUGUCCGCUCGAAACGUCGAAGUUCUGCAUAUAUUUUUGAGGUACUUGUAUCUCUCACAGUAAUUGCUAAACUGCGACAUAUGAAAAUAAUUCUACACAUAAUUUCCUCACUUUACUGUUGGUUGAGCAAUCUGUGCAUUUCCUUAGUAAAAUAUUUUUACAAUCAUUAGCAAGAGAGUCAAUCCUGGGGAGAUAUACCCCCACUUAUUAGAGGGCGACCCCCCCCCCCCCGAAACAACCUUCUCCCCCCAGAAAACUUUAAUUGUUAAUUUUUAAAAUAAUCAAUCUUCGCAAUGAGUAACAGCCUCGGAAAGCACCCUACGUACAGCAGCUCUGUUUCAGUUGAUAGUUUUUGUUUAAACAAAAAUAUAACUGCAAAUUUCCUAAGAAUCUAUUGAUGUGUUUCUUCACUCACAACAAAUUGCUUGUAAUGUACAGCAAACCAUAUCCACCCAAGCAACCAGACAAACAUUAACACAAAACAAUAAA